rnacentral:rRNA from 1 species
GACGAACGCUGGCGGCGUGCUUAACACAUGCAAGUCGAACGGUGAAGCUCCAGCUUGCUGGAGUGGAUCAGUGGCGAACGGGUGAGUAACACGUGAGCAACCUGCCCCUGACUCUGGAAUAAGCGCUGGAAACGGCGUCUAAUACUGGAUACGAGAAGGGUCCGCAUGGGCACUUUCUGGAAAGGUUUUCGGUUGGGGAUGGGCUCGCGGCCUAUCAGCUUGUUGGUGAGGUAAUGGCUCACCAAGGCGACGACGGGUAGCCGGCCUGAGAGGGCGACCGGCCACACUGGGACUGAGACACGGCCCAGACGCCUACGGGAGGCAGCAGUGGGGAAUAUUGCACAAUGGGCGAAAGCCUGAUGCAGCGACGCCGCGUGAGGGAUGACGGCCUUCGGGUUGUAAACCUCUUUCAGCAGGGAAGAAGCGAAAGUGACGGUACCUGCAGAAGAAGCACCGGCUAACUACGUG